rnacentral:lncRNA from 1 species
CACAGAUCAUGGAGGACUGUUUCAUCUGUUUGUGAUCUGCCGUCCUCUGUGAGCCUCAGGAUGGAUGUUUGCCAGCCGAUUCCAUGGUUACAAGCUCUAUAGCUGCAUCUAUGUGUUAGGAACAUGAAGACCAAUAAUGGAUGCACUGAGCUGAUUAUGAAUUUAGCCCUGAUCAAGACUUGUGUUGCUGUCAUGAUAUGAAAGAUUCCAGUAAUGAACGCACUUGAGUUGAUUCAAGCACGCUUCCAUGGUCAUGAGCUCUGUGGUUGCAUCUGUGUGUUAGGAGCAUGCAGACCAAUAGUGAUAAUCUCGAGGUGAUUUAUGCAUUCUUCCAUGGCCACCAGCCUUAUGGUUGCAUCUGUGCGUCACAGCUUAGAGAUCAAUAAUGGAUGCAACAAGCUGUUUGAACCAUUCUGUUGGGAUCAAGAUUGUUGUGUUGCCUCUGUUUGGAAAGAGACCAAGAAUGGAUACGCUCAGGUGAUUUAAGCAGUCUUCCAUGGCCACGAGCUCUGUGGUUGCCUCUGUAUAUUAAGAGCACAGAGAUUAAAAAUGGGUGCACUUGAGCCGAUUGAAACAUUCCUCCUUGCAUCUUUCUUCUGUGAUUGCAUCUAUUUGUUAGUGGCAUAGAGACCAAUAAUAGAUGGCUUGUGCUGAUGGAAGGAUUCCUCCCUGGUGACAUGCUGUGUCUGCCUCUUGAUUGGGAGCACGCAGACCUACAAUGAUGCACUUUUUAUGAUUUGAGAAUUCCUUCGUGGUCACGUGCUCUGUUUUUAUCAUGGUUGGGAGCCUGCAGAGCAAUAAGGGACAUGCCUUUGCUGGUUUGAGGAUUCCUCUGAGGUUGGGAGCUAAGUUUGCAUCAUGCUUAGAAAGGAGUGUGCAGACCUGUAAUGAUUGCACUUUGCUGAUUGAAGGAUUCCUUAAGUCCAUGUGCUCCACUUGCACCAUUUUUAGGAUGGAGCCUGGAGACCUAUAAUGAACAACUUGUGCUGUGUUAAGGAUUCCUCCAUGAUCACGCGCCCCAUUUGUUCACCAUGCUUGGGAAGGUGCAUGCAGACCAAUGUUAGUAAUAGUCAAAAUUCCUGUGUCGGUUUGUGUGGUUUGCUAAACAGGACUCAAUGUAUCAUGAAACAGUGUAUUAUAUAGUCAACGAUGGUCAACUAUGUCCCAGUGAUAUUUAUGAGAGGGAUCUGAAGUAUUUAUUGAUAAUGCAUAUAUGAAAAACGGAGAAGAAUUAAUGAAACAGAUAUAUCUGUGUUAGAAUGAUUCUGUAUAAAGAUAGGGAAUAUCAAGUCUGUUCUUAGUGUUUUGUGAAUCACAGAGUGUAAAAUUAUUCCCAGUGAAUUAAUGAAUAAAUUUAAAGAUAACAUAGAAAUGAAUGCAGAAAAAGAGGGUCAACCCUGGAUCGAUGAUGAGCACUGGUGGAGUAUGAGUCACAUACGAUGAAUACGUGUCUGGAACUCUGAGGUCCAUCGCAGAAGUCAGUUUCCUCUGUUUCAAGUAACUCUGUAGAUAGAUGACAAGAAUAGAGAAUGAAUUUCUUUGUUUAUGAGUUUUUAUUUUAUAAUUGGUUCAAUGAAAGAAUAAAACAUAUAUGAAUAAAUAAAUGAGUUAUGCAUUGUCCAAUUAUAAAAA